UCUGAGAUCAAAUCUAUCCGUCGAAUAGGAGCUGCGAGAGAACAAGAACCCUUCAUUUGAGCACGGCUCGCCUCUUCGAUCCUAUAAAUACGUUAUAUCUCGUCCCUCUUCCAUCGCCAAGGCGCCGAUUUGGGCGAUGUCCGUCGCCCUUUUCGUUUCUUCUCCCCCAUCGUUCCAUCGUUCGCUAUGUGGCUUUGAUCUCUCAUUCAGUUGCCAUGCCGGGAGGCGGGAGCCGUAGCUUCUCUUUGAAGCUGCCGUAGCCCUAAUGGAAAGCCGGCCGACGUUGCCAGUACUUUGCAUCGCACGCAACUUUGAGACCUAGUUCGUCGACGACGAUGAUGAGUCUACAGACCUGUAAUGAUUUUUGCGGAUAUGAUCGCACUAUCAAAGAACAUCUAAGGGACUGAGUCGUCGUCACCAAAUUCGUUCUACACAAAUCUAUACUUGUUGAAUUUACUGUCUAAUGUCAUUUGCUUCACUAUCUGGUCAUUGAGGAUCAUUUCCAUUCCCAAUGUACUCGUUCCCUUGAAGCUAGAUUUUGCGUUGUCAUGAUCAUCAUUUUACUUGCCGAUCCAAUAAACUUCUUGGCGAGUUAAUGAUCAUCACAUAAAUUUUAAAAGUAUUUCUUGCGCAACUGUUUUCAUGGCAGAUGAGGAUUUGUUGAUUUUAAUGGGUAAUUUGCAUCUGAAACUUGUGAUGUUACCUAUCAUAACACCUUGGAGAUCUGAUGCCUAAAAAGUCUUUCUUUCGCUUUUAUUUUCCGUUUCGUGAUUUUAAGACUCGGGGAUGAGAGAUGAUGAUGAAUUAUUUAGUUUACCUAUUGGUUUCACAGCCGAUAUGAUGGUUACAAUUGUAUUAGCUCUAUCUGAACUCUUUAUGCCUCUUUGUUCUUUAUUUUGCCUCUGUAAAAAAUUAUCUACGGUGAAUUUUUUUCAUCUAUUACUUCAUUAAAAAAAGAUAAUUAUUUUUUCUAUGGACAAAUGAAAUUUUAAAAUCAUUUUCUCCCUCUUGGUUGAGCAAUAUAAUCUAUUUUCUCUCAAUUUGUGAUUUGACACGCGCGAUCGCGGACCGUGGGCGCGAUCGCGGACCGCGGAUUUGCGGCAUCGUGGACCGUUGGCUUUUGGACCGCGGACCCGCGCGAUCUGGGACGGGGGGCACGUGCGCGAUCUCGGACCGUGGUCCCGCACGAUAGUGGACUGCGAUCUCGGGCGCUACCCCUUGCGUGAUUGCGGAUGGCGACGCCGCGUGGGCGUGAACGCCGACCAAACGCACGAAGGAGUUUUUUGGCGCCUUUUUCAUAAAGCUAUUUGAUGGAUGUUACUGGCUAUUUUAUUUCAUAAUAUUACAUUGAUGUGUUAAUGAAUAAUUAUCAUUCUUGGCAUUUUGUUUUUAGUGAUGUUUAUAGCAUUAUAUCAUUUGCCCGUGAAA